CCUACGGGAGGCAGCAGUGGGGAAUCUUGCGCAAUGGCCGAGAGGCUGACGCAGCGACGCCGCGUGGGGGAUGAAGCAUUUCGGUGUGUAAACCCCUGUUGCUCGGGACGAACAAGCCUUUUCGAGGGCUCUGACGGUACCGAGUGAGGAAGCACCGGCUAACUCCGUGCCAGCAGCCGCGGUAAUACGGAGGGUGCGAGCGUUGUCCGGAAUCACUGGGCGUAAAGGGCGCGUAGGCGGUCUGCUAAGCGUGUGGUGAAAGCUCGGGGCUCAACCCCGAGUCGGCCAUGCGAACUGGUGGACUAGAGCACUGUAGAGGCAGGUGGAAUUCCGGGUGUAGCGGUGGAAUGCGUAGAGAUCCGGAAGAACACCGGUGGCGAAGGCGGCCUGCUGGGCAGUAGCUGACGCUGAGGCGCGAUAGCGUGGGGAGCAAACAGGAUUAGAUACCCUGGUAGUCCACGCCGUAAACGAUGGGUACUAGGUGCUUGGGGGAGCGACCCCCCGAGUGCCGGCGCUAAACGCAUUAAGUACCCCCGCCUGGGGAGUUACGACCGCAAGGGUUGAAACUCAAAGGAAUUGACGG
rnacentral:rRNA from 1 species